AUUGAACGCUGGCGGCAGGCCUAACACAUGCAAGUCGAACGAGUGGCGGACGGGUGAGUAAUGUCUGGGAAACUGCCCGAUGGAGGGGGAUAACUACUGGAAACGGUAGCUAAUACCGCAUACCAUCGGAUGUGCCCAGAUGGGAUUAGCUAGUGGGUGGGGUAACGGCUCACCAAGGCAACGAUCCGUAGCUGGUUUGAGAGGAUGACCAGCCACACUGGGACUGAGACACGGUCCAGACUCCUACGGGAGGCAGCAGUGGGGAAUAUUGGACAAUGGGGGAAACCCUGAUGCAGCCAUCCCGCGUGUAUGAAGAAGGCCUUAGGGUUGUAAAGUACGUUCAGCGGGGAGGCGUUACCCGCAGAAGAAGCACCGGCUAACUCCGUGCCAGCAGUCGCGGUAAUUC
rnacentral:rRNA from 1 species